rnacentral:lncRNA from 1 species
CCGCCGUCAUUUCCGCUCGAGCUAGUGUCCCCCUUGACAGAGAGGAGAAGAGCGGCUCCUCCUCCCCCUCGACGCCAAGCCAACACUAACCAGCAGUCAGUCAGGUGUGCUGCCCCCUCCCCCUCACCUUCCUCAUCAUAUACAUUGGGGAUCUGGUUUCCUUGUCAUUUCCUUGUGCUUGGGUGCUUGCUUCUAUCCAACCCUAGGUUGGUUGCUGGUCGUGCCCCCACCCUCCUUUGAGUUUGAGAUGAUUCUAUGUUACAACAUGUUCCCUUAACCAUUAUUCCUUGCAGCAUCUCAUUAGCUUUCAUCUCUGUUUGGUUUUGAUGCAGGCCAAGCCAAGCAGCAGGCAGGUGACGGGAUUUUUUCUUCUGCAACCCCUCCUAAACUCCUCCUGCUAUUAGUACAAGGGGACUACUUCCCUCUGUUCCUUUGCAAGAUGAAGUAGGGCACCGAACCCCCCCCCUCCUCAUUCUCUUUUGCUAGCUCUUCCUUGUUCCUCACUGGACGCACGCGAAAAAAAGCACUAAGUAGGCAUUGUGCCGUCCGUGGGAGGCCCUCCCCUGCCUCCUCCUGUCCUCCUUUGAGGCUCAUCUCUAAUAGGCUUUGACUUCUUUAGAAUCAAUUCAUGUUAACUCUUUCAGAUCUAUAGUCAGUAUUUGAAUGUGAUAGUCGAAUGGAGUAUCUUCUUGUCAUUAUAGUUUAUAGAUUUUCUGCAAGCUUGUUGACUUUACUCCUUUGCUACUGCAUAUAUGAAAGCAGUGUCUUGUUAGCAUUAAGGCAACUAGUAAUGCACUUAUUUAUCAGAUGAAUUAUGUGAUAGUAUUCUUUCUUUCUUUUAAUGUACGUUAUGUCGCUCUAUUUAAAUAUGAGUCCUUCCUCUUAAUUUCCCUGCUUACCUAACAUUGUUGUCCCUUAUAUGCACUUUGGAUAUCGGGUGGGUUGUUGGACCAUUUUCAAGAUUUAACUCCAAAGUGCGUUUGCAGAAACCAAAAAAUCAUGGUAAGCUCAUUGUUUGCAGUCAUUUCCUUGUCCAAUUGCAUAUGUGGGCUACCGCUAAGGCCCUCCAAGGACCAUCCUACUGGACUCUGGCCCGCCGAGCCCGUGAAUUGGAUGGAGCUCGGUCCAUUUCCCAUUCACCAGCCUAAGCCACUAACCCUAGUCGGUCCAUGCAUAUAAAGAGCUCGACGCCGUCAUAUUCCUUGUAGAUUAAUUUAUUCCACUUAUAUAAAUUAAAAUUAUAUGUAUGGGCUUUAUCUACUAAUUAAAAUAAUGUUGGACCAUUUUAUACUACACAUUUUUACCUUUUAUUGUUAAAACUCCUUUUCCAUGAAUAGUCUUACUGGUUCAAUUUUCUAUUACAUUCAGCAAAAAACUAUUUUUUGAGGGAUUAUAAACCCAAACACAUAGUAUUAUUAUUAUUAUUUACUUUUCAGAUAGUGUCACUUCAAAAUCAUUGCCUAAGCCUUUAGUGUUUUUAUAUAUCAGAAAAGGGAGAAAGUUGGAUGUUUUUGUAGAUAAGUUUAUUUCAUUUGGAUGAAUUACAAUUAUGUGUAUGAAUUUUGUAUUUACUUUAGUUUUCUUAAAUAUCAUGGCUUAGUUCUCUGAAGGCGAUAGAGGUUUCUAGAGGGCAUGGUUGUCCCAUUGGGUUACUUUUUUUGUUUCCUUCAAUAUCAGCUUAGAUCUCUGAAGGCCAUAGUAAAUAAAAGUUAUAGUUUCCAGACUAAGCAAAGCUGGCCGUGUUUCUGCUAUGUCUCUGUCUAUGUGGACCAAGUAGUGUACAAACAUGCAUAGGAAUACAAAAGAGACUUGCACACCCUCGGCAAAAGACACGACAUAUAUAACAACUUAAAUAAUAGUUAAAAGGAAGUAGAACAAUCAGAUCAAAAGAUAGAGUUACAAUCCAACUCAAAAUUUAACAAACCACAACGAGUCACAACAUACAAGUUCUUGUUAGUACGAUAGCUAGUUAUAUGACUAGAUAAGCUAGACUAGACCUGAUGAUGUUACACAAAAGUUAAUUUCACAUCUUACAUAUAUAUCCUUCUUACUAUAUAUGGCCGGGCAAUCAACAGAGCAAAACGUACACCUUUUCACUAACAAGAAAGGACGAAGCUAUGACAACCUCCACUGUGGCGUCCCCAAAUGAACAAAAACGCGUUCUUGUUUGGUGGUGUUCAACAGGAAAGCCGACGUGACCCUUUCGAGCAAUACAGGGACCAGACUUGCCAUAGGAUUCUAUGGCCACUCUCGGUGUCCCUUGUGGUUCCACUGAAACCACUUUCCUCGAUAGAUAAACGUAGUUAUUUGAUCCUCUACGCAUUCCUUUACCACAGUGGUCAAGCAACACAACUCGCUUGUAAGUGCUAGGAAUAACCUGUGUUGUAGUAAAUGCCAAUCCACUUUAGCAAAGUGUAUACCCACUUAGCCUAGAGUUACCCAUCAAGCAACACAAAAGUUAGCUAUGAUAUAUGACAAGAAAAGAAGAGAAGGAAAAGGAAAGAAACCCAGAAAAUAAAACCAAAAGAAGAACAAAGAAAAGAAAAGAAAAAACAGAAAACCGGCUAAGAUACUGCACAGAAAAAGCCCGACACAAAACAUUGCUCAAACCAUGCAAAGUGGCAUAGAAGGUUCACACAACUGAGCUAAAUGGGUUGCCCACAACUUCCAGCUCUGUAGGUGACCCUACCAUUGGUUUGGCAAUAAGCAAGAUUUAGCUUUGGUGAUGCAUCCAAGCAAUAAAAAUGAGCAGUUAACAGGCUCGG